rnacentral:rRNA from 1 species
UUGCCCCAGUAACGGCGAGUGAAGCGGCAACAGCUCAAAUUUGAAAUCUGGCCUCGGCCCGAGUUGUAAUUUGCAGAGGAUGUUUCUGGCGCGGUGCCUUCUGAGUUCCCUGGAACGGGACGCCAUAGAGGGUGAGAGCCCCGUACGGUUGGACGCCUAGCCUGUGUGAAACUCCUUCGACGAGUCGAGUAGUUUGGGAAUGCUGCUCAAAAUGGGAGGUAUAUCUCUUCUAAAGCUAAAUAUUGGCCAGAGACCGAUAGCGCACAAGUAGAGUGAUCGAAAGAUGAAAAGCACCUUGAAAAGGGGGUUAAACAGCACGUGAAAUUGUUGAAAGGGAAGCGCCCAUGACCAGACUUGUGCCCGGCGGAUCACCCAGCGUUCUCGCUGGGGCACUCCGCCGGGUCCAGGCCAGCAUCGGUUUUCGCCGGGGGAUAAAGGCUCUGGGAACGUAGCUCCUCCGGGAGUGUUAUAGCCCUCUGCGUAAUACCCUGGCGGGGACCGAGGUACGCGCUCCGCAAGGAUGCUGGCGUAAUGGUCAUCAGCGACCCGUCUUGAAACACGGAUCAAGGAGUCGUCCAUUAGAGCGAGCGUUUGGGUGUCAAACCCGCACGCGUAAUGAAAGUGAACGUAGGUGAGAGCUUCGGCGCAUCAUCGACCGAUCCUGAUGUCCUCGGAUGGAUUUGAGUAUGAGUUUUACUGGACGGACCCGAAAGAUGGUGAACUAUGCCUGUAUAGGGUGAAGCCAGAGGAAACUCUGGUGGAGGCUCGCAGCGGUUCUGACGUGCAAAUCGAUCGUCAAAUAUGGGCAUGGGGGCGAAAGACUAAUCGAACCAUCUAGUAGCUGGUUACCGCCG